rnacentral:rRNA from 1 species
GAUGAACGCUGGCGGCGUGCCUAAUACAUGCAAGUCGAGCGAACGGACGAGAAGCUUGCUUCUCUGAUGUUAGCGGCGGACGGGUGAGUAACACGUGGAUAACCUACCUAUAAGACUGGGAUAACUUCGGGAAACCGGAGCUAAUACCGGAUAAUAUUUUGAACCGCAUGGUUCAAAAGUAAAAGGCGGUCUUGCUGUCACUUAUAGAUGGAUCCGCGCUGCAUUAGCUAGUUGGUAAGGUGACGGCUUACCAAGGCAACGAUGCAUAGCCGACCUGAGAGGGUGAUCGGCCACACUGGAACUGAGACACGGUCCAGACUCCUGCGGGAGGCAGCAGUAGGGAAUCUUACGCAAUGGGCGAAAGCCUGACGGAGCAACGCCGCGUGAGUGAUGAAGGUCUUCGGAUCGUAAAACUCUGUUAUUAGGGAAGAACAUAUGUGUAAGUAACUGUGCACAUCUUGACGGUACCUAAUCAGAAAGCCACGGCUAACUACGUG